rnacentral:rRNA from 1 species
UACGAAGGGGGCUAGCGUUGCUCGGAAUCACUGGGCGUAAAGCGCACGUAGGCGGACUCUUAAGUCGGUGGUGAAAUCCUGGAGCUCAACUCCAGAACUGCCUUCGAUACUGAGAGUCUCGAGUCCGAGAGAGGUGAGUGGAACUGCGAGUGUAGAGGUGAAAUUCGUAGAUAUUCGCAAGAACACCAGUGGCGAAGGCGGCUCACUGGCUCGGGUACUGACGCUGAGGUGCGAAAGCGUGGGGGAGCAAACAGGG